AUACCUUUCUCGGCUUUUUGACUAAGAUCAAGUGUAGUAUCUGUUCUUAUCAGUUUAAUAUAAUAUAAUAUGUGUGGCCUCGUCCUCACAACGAUAUUAAAUUUAUUUUUUGUGCGGAAGGAUCAGUUUAGUGGCUUGCCACUAGGAUCCUUAGGUGUCGCUUAGGCGUUGCACUAUAGCCUAGGCUGGGCGCAACCCAA